rnacentral:rRNA from 1 species
UACGUAGGGGGCAAGCGUUGUCCGGAUUUAUUGGGCGUAAAGAGCGUGUAGGCGGCCAUACAGGUCAGCUGUGAAAACUCGAGGCUCAACCUCGAGACGUCGGUUGAAACCGCAUGGCUAGAGUCCGGAAGAGGAGAGUGGAAUUCCCGGUGUAGCGGUGAAAUGCGCAGAUAUCGGGAAGAACACCCGUGGUGAAGGCGGCUCUCUGGGACGGUACUGACGCUGAGACGCGAAAGCGUGGGGAGCGAACAGG